UCCUGGGAGACUCUUUCCUUCCCUUUCUCCCCUUGUCUGGCCCUGCAGGAUUAUCCAUGGUGGCGCACUGGGGACCAUGAUAGACACCACGCUGUUCAUGACGGCCUACUGCAGUGCUAAUGCGGUCUUCACCGGGACCAUGACCAUCACCUUCAAGAGCCCGAUCACCCUCGGCUCAGUGGUGAGGCUGGAGGCACACAUCACCGGCAUGGAAGGGAGAAAGGUGUUUCUCUCCUGCGAAGCCCAAAGCAGCGACAGGACCAUCCUCUUUGCUGAAGCUUCUGCCAUCUUCUUCCAAAUGAAGUGAUACGGUGCAAGGCACCGUAGGCUCAUCCCCUCCUGGCCCAGAGGGCAGGAAACCAAAGCUUCCUUUGGAGCAGAGUCUGUCUCUCCACCCAUCUCCAGCUGCCAGUGUUUACUCCAGCCCUUUCCUCCUUGGAUGGUGAAAACUCCUCCAGCUGUCAGAGCUUGUUAUGAAUAAACUUUGAAAAGGGAGAUUAUGUAUCCA
rnacentral:lncRNA from 1 species